rnacentral:rRNA from 1 species
AUGACGGCGAGCUUAACAUCAAAGCACGGUCUGGCGUAUAGCGGCAUGGAGGCCUUUUUCAAGCUUACUUUAGGGAGUAUUUGUGCUUGGUGUGGGCGAUUGAAGUGGUGGGGUUGCCCUAUGGUAGGAAUAAUGUUCUCCUCGUUCUAUCCCCCCAAAGUUGGUGUGUUUUUCGCCAGUGGAGGGCGUGUGGAGUUGUGUCUCUGGUGGGUCUUCCAAGAUCUGAUCGGUUUAGGUUUCCGGUGGAUUUGUCUGGAUUCACCCAGGCGAAGGCUUUCAUGGUCUUCGUGUUAUUUAGAGUUUCUGGUGGCCCUUGUCGACAUUCUUUUCUCCGUGGCGGCAAUUUGGCUCGCAAAUUGCGGUCGCCAGCGUAUCCUAGUCUGCAUUGACGACUACCUGUCUGAUGCUUUUAUAGCCUCCUGUGUUUCAAAAAGUUUGCUCCACCCAGGCGAAGGCCUAGAGGCGGCAUCGAGCUAUGCUCGCGGCGCACCGCCUAUGAAUGCAGUAGGUAGAAGACUUCACCACCCUCAAGAUUUUGAAUGUAUAUCUUUUUCAGGAGUGUUUGACUUGCUGGUUUGGAUGGGUGAAGCUGGAGCACCGAUGCAAUAUUUGCUGGAACUGUGGAAUGAGUGGGAGAUCCAAGCUGUUGUUGUUGUCAGCUUUAGUCUGCAGGUUAUCCUCUUCUUCUUUGCUGGGAUCCGCCGCUACACCGUCUCUUCUGUUCUCCGGGCGCUUCUCUGGCUGGUGUAUCUGCUUGCUGAUCUUGCUGCGGUGUAUGCCCUGGGGCACAUGUCUUCGUCGUUGACGAAGAAAUCGUCCGGUGAGCACCAGCUGGUGGCGUUCUGGGCACCGUUCCUCCUGCUGCACCUUGGCGGCCAGGACAGCAUCACCGCGUACGCCCUAGAGGAUAAUGAACUCUGGCUGCGCCACCUGCUGAAUAUGUUUGUGCAGGUUGCGGGCACCGCUUAUGUGCUCUACAAGUACAUCAUUGCAGGUGGGGCGACCUUUGUCCGUCCCGCUAUGUUGGUUCUGGCCGCCGGAGUUUUCAAGUAUGGCGAGAGGAUACGGGCACUGAAGCUUUCAAGCAAGAUGUGUUCCGAUGACGGUGCACCACCACGUAGGACUUUUCCGCGGACGAUCAAGCGGGGUUUAAGUUCACCUUUGGAAGAGAAGUCUGGGGAAGCUGGAGUGGGCUUCAAAUAUGGGGGGGAUAUGAUGCAGGGAACCUCCACCGAAAGAGACUACCGCACUGAAAGCAAACAGUUCGAAAAUUAUGCAUUUAUUGUGAUGAGAGCACACGUGUUGUGCCAUGUGUUUCUCAAGCCUUUAAUCAUGGACAGGAACGAGACGUCCAUAGUUUGGCUUCGGCAUUAUGGGAUCAACCACCUGGUAGAGGGUCAUGUACAGGGAUGUGCAUGGGAAGAGUAUCCAUCGGCAGAAGAGAAGAGGCAAAUUCUGGAGGUGUACACCUCAAUCGAGGUGGAACUCGCCGUGAUGUACAACACGCUGUACACCAAGGCACAAGUCAUCCACCACACAUGGUAUGGCUACUGCACCCGUGUCAUUUCACUUGUGUCUUGCUUUGCCGCUCUUGUGGUCUUCACAAAGAGCAAGAGAGAUGGCUACAGCACACCCGACAUUGUUAUCACUUUUGCUCUUCUGGGAGGAGCCUGCGCACUGGAGGUCGCAUCUGUUUUCAAGGCGAUUGGGUCGACCUGGACCUAUGCCAUCCUGAGAGAGCAUGGAUUGGAGUGGCUGGCCAACGCGAUCCUGUUCGCGCGGUACCACCUCAUCGUCGUCAAAGAUGGAAGGUGGUUCCAUUCUGUUGGGCAAUUCAACUUCGUAUCCUUCUGCGUUCACAGCAACAAGAGGAGCCUCUGGAAAACAAUUGCCAAGUGGAUUAGGCUCAAGGACUCUUUGAUCAAACCUCAGUGCACCAAACAUGCCAAGCUAUCACCUGCCCUGAAGGAGUAUGUAUGGGGCCUCGUCAAAGGUGAGAAGAGGCAUAUGGUAGGAAUUGAAGAUGUGGGCAUGCAGAGUGGGUACUGGGCUCGCAGCUUUAGUGGCUUCCAGCAGAGUGAACAGCUCGACUGGAGCCUGAGAUUUGAAUUUCACGAGUGCGUGCUUGUCUGGCACAUGGCCACAAGCGCCUUCCUCAAUGUACCUGCCGUCAAAUGCAAGCUACUCGUCAAGGACAAGGACAUGGCUGAAAUAGUCAAUACUCUCUCUGAUUACAUGAUGUACCUCCUUGUUGAGCACCCUGACAUUCUGCCUACCAAGGUGGCUGCUCGGAACCUAUUUCGCAGAACCUGCACCUCUUACGGUAAGGCUGCAUAUACCGAGUAUGCACCUUAUCAGGUGAUUGUGGAUUUCAGGCAAAAACUUGAUGAGAGAACAGGAAAACAAAAUGAUAGCCUGGCGCAAAGCAAAUGGUAUGCUGACCCGGGCCAAGCUAUGCUGGGGAAAGCAUGCACCCUUGCUUGCACAAUGCUCGACAUGGAGUUGGGGCUCGCGCAUAAGAUGGAUAUAUUUGGAACAGUGUGGACGAAGAUGUUGUGCUAUGUAGCAACCAAUGCAUCUAGGCAGUUCCACGCCAGACAAUUGAGCAAAGGUGGCGAGUUUCUGACCCACAUCCUGCUUCUUGUUCAAUAUUGUUCUCCUAUACUAGAUAUACCAAAUCCGUACAAAGAAGCUGAUGAAACAGAGUGGCAGCGUGAAGUUGUCCGCAGAGAGCAGGAUGUGGACAUGGAUACGGGCCAUGUGAUCAUUGAGAUCGAUGACUGA